GUGCUUCAUCCCCAGUCCACCCUGGUUCUUGACUAGAGCUCCACAAGGCAAGACUGUGAACCUAUUUUCUACUAAGAAGCAGAAGGAAUAUAGCACAGUGACAAGCAUGGGGGGCACAUGCCUUUCCUCAGCUCCCACGUCUUCAAGGGAAGCGUGCAUGGCGCAGUACAAAGCACAUCUUUGAGAUCCCCUGGCCGCCUUCCUGGAAGGAUCCUCUCAGAUGCCCAGGCCUGCGCAGAGCACGAGGAGGGGAUGCAGGUACCAUGUCCUCCCUCCUUCCAUCUUUGAGCUGGAGGACCACUACCUGGGAGAUAACCCGCGCACAGAUGUAUUGUGUAGGCCACCAGCACUGCUCCUGGCAACAAGAAGAGGGACUUUUGAACUCCUUUGCUGCUGUUCCCUUCACUCACUGUGAAGACAGAAGGGGUCUUAACCUAUGUCUGUACACCCCUCUUUGUUG